AAUGGAAGGAAUAUCAUGGCCGAGAACAAGGCAUAAUUGUAUGUCCCUUGAUGUAGGGGGGCCUGUAAAGGUAAAUAAUUCCUGGAGCCAUCUCGAGGUAUAGUACUCAAGUCGGAGCGAAUCAAUUGAUAGCACGAUGAAAAGAAAUAAUAGCCAUCAUAAAACUGUAAAUAUGUAUAUAACUAGUACAAUGUAGCUAUUUAACUGUAAGUACAAUGUAGCUAGAUAUUUAGUAGAAUAGGGGUAUUAUAAAUUAAUACAAAAUACAA